UUACAAAAGUAUAGUUCAAUAACAAUGUGCUAUAUUUAUACACACUGUUUGCAGUGUUUGCUGCUCACAAACGACGAGCGCAAGAACAUAGAAGGACCCAUUUCCCGUCGAAAGCGAAAAGGGCUAAGAAAGAUUAUGUUAAGGUGAUAUAUUUAAAUAGAAGGCUAUUACUGACUUUUUUGGGUCCAUAUGUUGUUUUACAGAUCUAGUCUAAUAAUUAGUGAUGGUUAUGGCCAUCGUAUUCAUUGAAGAUUUACUUUCUAUGACCAUAGAUAAAUGUCGGCGUAGCGGAAAGAGAUGCCUGCGGGGGAGCGUUGAAGAGAGUUCGAGGGACCACAAUGGACUUGAAGUGGAAUCGUGUGCGUCAAAAGAAGAAAUAACCAAGGCAGCCCUACCAUUGCUGCAAGAACUGACAAGAAAAUUACAUCUUUUGCAAGUGGAGGAUGUGCAACUCAUUUAUGCACACCUAGAGCCGGUCACAGACUUGCCUGCAGGGACUUGCCUGCAGGGGGUCGCGAGCUGGGAGAACGAACCGAAUUCACACUAAAAAAGUACCGGGACUUGGUCAAUCGCCAUUACCACCGAAUAACAUUUUUGGUGUGCGAUAGCGACCACCUCGGUGAGUCCGAUGAUACAUCCUCAUCAAGUGACAGUGCCACCAAGCUACCAGACCUAUCAUACCAUCCAGUUGGUUUUAUUUAGAAUUCCCUAAAUGAGAAUCAAUUAUUUUUCAAUUAAAUUAAGUGUUACUGUUACACGUUAGGCAAUGGAGGAUUACACAUCAUUACGUAUCAUCGUUACACACGCAGGUACACGCACGUACACGC